AAGCGAAACGCCCUGCCAAUGGCGGGGCGUCUGCUGGGCGUGGUGGCCCAGCACUGAUGAGCAGCCAAGG
rnacentral:hammerhead_ribozyme from 1 species